rnacentral:rRNA from 1 species
UACGAAGGGGGGCUAGCGUUGUUCGGAUUUACUGGGCGUAAAGCGCACGUAGGCGGGUCGUUAAGUCAGGGGUGAAAUCCCGGAGCUCAACUCCGGAACUGCCUUUGAUACUGGCGACCUUGAGGCUGGAAGAGGUUAGUGGAAUUCCCAGUGUAGAGGUGAAAUUCGUAGAUAUUGGGAAGAACACCAGUGGCGAAGGCGGCUAACUGGUC